rnacentral:rRNA from 1 species
GUGAACGCUGGCGGUAGGCCUAACACAUGCAAGUCGAACGGCAGCACAGUAAGAGCUUGCUCUUACGGGUGGCGAGUGGCGGACGGGUGAGGAAUACAUCGGAAUCUACUUUUUCGUGGGGGAUAACGUAGGGAAACUUACGCUAAUACCGCAUACGACCUACGGGUGAAAGCAGGGGAUCUUCGGACCUUGCGCGAUUGAAUGAGCCGAUGUCGGAUUAGCUAGUUGGCGGGGUAAAGGCCCACCAAGGCGACGAUCCGUAGCUGGUCUGAGAGGAAGAUCAGCCACACUGGAACUGAGACACGGUCCAGACUCCUACGGGAGGCCGCAGUGGGGAAUAUUGGACAAUGGGCGCAAGCCUGAUCCAGCCAUACCGCGUGGGUGAAGAAGGCCUUCGGGUUGUAAAGCCCUUUUGUUGGGAAAGAAAAGCAGCAGGUUAAUACCCCGCUGUUCUGACGGUACCCAAAGAAUAAGCACCGGCUAACUUCGUG